UACGUAGGGCGCAAGCGUUGUCCGGAAUUAUUGGGCGUAAAGAGCUCGUAGGCGGUUUGUCGCGUCUGCUGUGAAAUCCCGAGGCUCAACCUCGGGCUUGCAGUGGGUACGGGCAGACUAGAGUGCGGUAGGGGAGACUGGAAUUCCUGGUGUAGCGGUGGAAUGCGCAGAUAUCAGGAGGAACACCGAUGGCGAAGGCGGGUCUCUGGGCCGCAACUGACGCUGAGGAGCGAAAGCAUGGGGAGCGAACAGG
rnacentral:rRNA from 1 species